UACGUAGGGUGCGAGCGUUGUCCGGAUUUAUUGGGCGUAAAGAGCUCGUAGGCGGUUCGUCGCGUCGGCUGUGAAAUCCCGAGGCUCAACCUCGGGUCUGCAGUCGAUACGGGCGGACUGGAGUUCGGCAGGGGAGACUGGAAUUCCUGGUGUAGCGGUGAAAUGCGCAGAUAUCAGGAGGAACACCGGUGGCGAAGGCGGGUCUCUGGGCCAAUACUGACGCUGAGGAGCGAAAGCGUGGGGAGCGAACAGG
rnacentral:rRNA from 1 species